rnacentral:rRNA from 1 species
GUGGAUUAGAUACCCUGGUAGUCCACGCCCUAAACGAUGCAUAUUUGGUGUGGGCCAUUCAUUUGGUCUGUGCCGGAGCUAACGCGUUAAAUAUGCCGCCUGGGGAGUACAGUCGCAAGGCUGAAACUCAAAGGAAUUGACGGGGGCCCGCACAAGCGGUGGAGCAUGUGGUUUAAUUCGACGCAACGCGAAGAACCUUACCUGGGCUCGAAAUGCUAUGGACCAGCUUAUGAAAGUAGGCCUUCCCGCAAGGGACCAUAGUAUAGGUGCUGCACGGCUGUCGCCAACU